CGCUCCCCCUCCCUCGCUCGGCACUGAGACUCCCUUUCUAUUUUCUAAUCCCUACUCAGAUUUCAGAUCUGGAACUCACGCCGCCGGACGCCGCUCUAAGUCUCGCCGCCGGACGCCGCUCGCCCUCAAGGCCGCUGCCGCCGGACGCCGCUGGACGCCAGUCGCCGACGUCGCUCGCGCGAACCCUCGUCGCUCGACGCCCGUCGCUGCCGUACUCUGCCUCUGCCCGUCGCCGACGCCGCUCUGACUCUCGCCGCCGGACGCCGCUCGCCUUCAAGGCCGCCACCACCGGACGCCGCUGGACGCCAGUUGCUGACGCCGCUCGCGCGAACCCUCGCCGCUCAACGCCAGUCGCUGCCGUGCUCUGCCUCUGCCCGUCGCUGACGCCGCUCUGACUCUUGCCCGCCGCGACUACCCGACGCCGGCAGAUCUGAGCCGAGCUAGUCUCCGCUCGCGACCCACCGCCUCUGCUCGCGCCAGAAGCCCAACAUGCCAAAAAGCAUAAGCCUGUCAUUUAUUAUUUCUUUUCUUGUUCGUUUCACGUUUGUUGGAAUUGGGACUUGCUUGGUUACGGAUUUCGAUGGUUUUUGAUGCAAAAGCUGAGAUGAUCGAGUCCCUCACCAUGAUAUAAUUUUAAGAAUCGAAUGACUGUCUCUUCCUUUCUUUUGGGUCCGUUACUGUUCCACAGAUUCUCCUGUUGUUGCUGAUAAGGCACGAUUCUUCUAUCCCAUGUACACCUGUUAUUUCUGUGAGUCCAGAUUACUUACGUGUUCACCCGUUUAUGACUUAGAGGACCUGCAGGCUUUCUCAAACGUAAAUUUUUUUUGCAGGUAAAUCACUGUGUUUCCAGAUUCCAGCCCUAUUGACUGGGAAGGUGGAUGUUGUGAUGUCACCAUUGAUAAGUUUAAUGCAUGGUUUACUCGAUGUCUCCGGUCAACUAAGCCGCGUCCACCCAAGUGUUUAAUAAUGCAAUUAAGUGCAAUUUUCUGAUCUGAGCAAAGUGGUCUGCUGAAAAGCACGAAGAAUAUCAGAAAUAUCUUUUGCGAAUUACCUUCUCUUCCUCGGACUAUUGUGGCAAUAACUGAGGAAUCUGAGCUCGUCCCUUGUUCAAACGGAGAGGAAAUGGUGGGUGAACAACUCGUAACCUCAUGGAAAUACUUAUGGAAAAUCACCAACUUCAAUAGCUUAAGUUCAGUCAGGUGCUUGUUGAUCUACCCAAAAGGCAAUAGAACCAACUCUUUGGCACUAUAUUUGAGUGUUGCCAAUCCUACAGGACUUCCAGACGGAUGGUCUAGAUUUGCACUGUUCAAAUUGACUCUGGUUAAUCAGAUAAAUGCUGGUUCUUCAAAGAGAAAGGGUAUGAAUUGUCUACUCCAGGGCCUCCUUUUCCCCCGGCUAGAUGGUUCUUUUAUUUAAUCUUGCCGUUAAUAUAUUUCUGAAAGGAUGAUAAGCGAUGAUCUGAGUUCUUUUGUUGGUUCAUGUAAGAUGUAUAAAAUUCAAGUAACAGGAAACAUGUGAUUUUGUCACUCUACCCCUCUUGAGACACCCAGAUUAGUUUUGGAGUGAAUAUUCACCAUGUUGAAAGUGGCUGGCGAGUGUAGAUUUGAAGCUGAAGAAAUCUGAAGGACCAAAUUGAUGUUUUGCUGAAGUAAAUUAGAACAUUCUGGUGCUGUGUUUUGAAUCUUUUAUUCAAACAUGUUUCAACUUUACUCCAGUUGUUUGAUCUGCUGUCGAAUGUCGCUCCUGCAUAACAUGAGACAGAACACAUUUUCACUGCUAGAGAGAGCGAUUGGGGUUUCACAUCCUUUAUCCUUACCUGUUGCUCGGUUAUUUACCAUGACUUUGACCAUUGGUUCAGCUUUGCAUGUUAAUUAUCCUAGUCGAUAGAGGGGACAAUUAUGAUGAUUAAAGAUUAUGGUAAGGAUUCUUUCCUGAUUGAAGUUUUUUCACGUUUCAGGAAACUAUUUGUGUUAAGAGAGAACUUCAGCACCUCCAAGAUGAAGUUCUUGAAAUUUGACAUCCCACUAAUGGCUUUGACUGCUACUGCUAGUAACUAUGUUCAAGAAGAUGUUAUUCGGCGCCUUUGCAUGUCAAAGGAGACAAAGAUUGUGCUUACAUCAUUCUACUGCUCCAAUCUACGUUUUUCUGAGUUUGUCGUUUUCUUUUGUUCUAAGGAUUGGAUUAGGUUUUUUUGUGUUCAUAGGGAUAUUUAAGUGCUUGAAAACAGAAAUAUGCACCAGCAUGAUUUUUGGUAGAUUUGCUCCUAAUAUGAACCUGCUGUUAACAGGUUAAGCAUAGCAGAACUUUUUCAGAGACUUACAAAAAGGAUUUCCAUGUUUUUAU